UACGAAGGGGGCUAGCGUUGCUCGGAAUUACUGGGCGUAAAGGGCUCGUAGGCGGCCAACUAAGUCAUACGUGAAAUCCCUCGGCUUAACCGGGGAACUGCGUCUGAUACUGGAUGGCUUGAGUUCGGGAGAGGGAUGCGGAAUUCCAGGUGUAGCGGUGAAAUGCGUAGAUAUCUGGAGGAACACCGGUGGCGAAGGCGGCAUCCUGGACCGAUACUGACGCUGAGGAGCGAAAGCCAGGGGAGCAAAGCGGG
rnacentral:rRNA from 1 species